rnacentral:rRNA from 1 species
UUAAAUUGAAGAGUUUGAUCAUGGCUCAGAUUGAACGCUGGCGGCAGGCCUAACACAUGCAAGUCGAACGGUAACAGGAAUCAGCUUGCUGAUUCGCUGACGAGUGGCGGACGGGUGAGUAAUGUCUGGGAAACUGCCUGAUGGAGGGGGAUAACUACUGGAAACGGUAGCUAAUACCGCAUAACGUCGCAAGACCAAAGAGGGGGACC